rnacentral:ncRNA from 1 species
CUCGAUAAAGGCAAACCGGUGGAAACGCCGGGACGCAAAGCUAGGGGACGGCGAAUCGAAUUAGUCGGUUCGACGUCAGCCCGGCCGCCGGAA